UGGGGAAUUUUGGACAAUGGGCGAAAGCCUGAUCCAGCAAUGCCGCGUGUGUGAAGAAGGCCUUCGGGUUGUAAAGCACUUUUGUCCGGAAAGAAAUCCUUGGCUCUAAUACAGUCGGGGGAUGACGGUACCGGAAGAAUAAGCACCGGCUAACUACGUGCCAGCAGCCGCGGUAAUACGUAGGGUGCAAGCGUUAAUCGGAAUUACUGGGCGUAAAGCGUGCGCAGGCGGUUUGCUAAGACCGAUGUGAAAUCCCCGGGCUCAACCUGGGAACUGCAUUGGGUGACUGGCAGGCUAGAGUAUGGCAGAGGGGGGUAGAAUUCCACGUGUAGCAGUGAAAUGCGUAGAGAUGUGGAGGAAUACCGAUGGCGAAGGCAGCCCCCUGGGCCAAUACUGACGCUCAUGCACGAAAGCGUGGGGAGCAAACAGGAUUAGAUACCCUGGUAGUCCACGCCCUAAACGAUGUCAACUAGUUGUUGGGGAUUCAUUUCCUUAGUAACGUAGCUAACGCGUGAAGUUGACCGCCUGGGGAGUACGGUCGCAAGAUUAAAACUCAAAUGAAUUGACGGGGUCAUAGCUGUUU
rnacentral:rRNA from 1 species